rnacentral:rRNA from 1 species
GCAGUCGAACGAGAAAGUGGACUUCGGUCCGCGAGUAGAGUGGCGCACGGGUGAGUAACGCGUAGGUAAUCUACCCUUAUAACUGGGAUAACAUUGGGAAACUGGUGCUAAUACCGGAUACACUUCUUUGAUGCGGGUUAAAGGAGGAAAGGUGGCCUCUUGGUCAAAGCUACCGUAUAGGGAUGAGCCUGCGUACCAUUAGCUAGUAGGCGGGGUAACGGCCCACCUAGGCGACGAUGGUUAGCGGGUCUGAGAGGAUGAUCCGCCACACUGGAACUGGAACACGGACCAGACUCCUACGGGAGGCAGCAGUGAGGAAUAUUGCGCAAUGGGGGAAACCCUGACGCAGCGACGCCGCGUGAGUGAGGAAGGUUUUCGGAUCGUAAAGCUCUGUCAGAAGGGAAGAAGUGUCAGAUGGUUAAUACCCAUGUGAUUUGACGGUACCUUCAGAGGAAGCACCGGCUAACUCCGUGCCAGCAGCCGCGGUAAUACGGAGGGUGCGAGCGUUGUUCGGAAUUACUGGGCGUAAAGGGCGCGUAGGCGGCUUUAUAAGUCAGAUGUGAAAGUCCAUGGCUCAACUGUGGAAGUGCAUUUGAAACUGUGAAGCUUGAGUAUCGGAGGG